GUACGGCCGCAAGGUUAAAACUCAAAUGAAUUGACGGGGGCCCGCACAAGCGGUGGAGCAUGUGGUUUAAUUCGAUGCAACGCGAAGAACCUUACCUGGUCUUGACAUCCACGGAAGUUUUCAGAGAUGAGAAUGUGCCUUCGGGAACCGUGAGACAGGUGCUGCAUGGCUGUCGUCAGCUCGUGUUGUGAAAUGUUGGGUUAAGUCCCGCAACGAGCGCAACCCUUAUCCUUUGUUGCCAGCGGUCCGGCCGGGAACUCAAAGGAGACUGCCAGUGAUAAACUGGAGGAAGGUGGGGAUGACGUCAAGUCAUCAUGGCCCUUACGACCAGGGCUACACACGUGCUACAAUGGCGCAUACAAAGAGAAGCGACCUCGCGAGAGCAAGCGGACCUCAUAAAGUGCGUCGUAGUCCGGAUUGGAGUCUGCAACUCGACUCCAUGAAGUCGGAAUCGCUAGUAAUCGUGGAUCAGAAUGCCACGGUGAAUACGUUCCCGGGCCUUGUACACACCGCCCGUCACACCAUGGGAGUGGGUUGCAAAAGAAGUAGGUAGCUUAACCUUCGGGAGGGCGCUUACCACUUUGUGAUUCAUGACUGGGGUGAAGUCGUAACAAGGUAACCGUAG
rnacentral:rRNA from 1 species